GGGCGAAAGGGUCCAUGCCAGCAACACAAUCACUCAAAGUCCAGAUGAGGGAUCAGUAAAUACAACGUGCCUGAAAGGUGGCCCUUGAGCACAUUCCUCCGGUAGACAUUAACUUAUUAAAUUGAUUCUGAUUACAAAUAUAAACUUUGCCCCCAUCUCACCCAGUAACAAUGCAAGAGUUGAUGUCAGUCUAUAAAAGGAAGUAGGAACUGUCCCUGGCUUUCAGGCUCCAACAUCCUCCCCCUGUCAAGAUGUGGCACCUCAAACUUUGUGCAGUCCUCAUGAUCUUCCUGUUGCUGUUGGGCCAGGUAAGGAGGGAAGGAUACUUAUGUGUGUGUGUGGAGUGUGGAGAUGAUAGUGGUGGUGGAACUUGAAAGCUAGAUUCAGUCCUGAGGAAUGGUUCCUCUGUUCUGAGUCUACAGCAUCUGCGGAAUGGAAUGAUCACUCUUCCAAGGUGUGCAGCAGGGUGUCAACACUUUCAUAUCUGAAUGUCUUUGCCCUUACAGAUAGAUGGCUCCCCAAUACCAGAAGUGAGUUCGGCAAAGAGAAGGCCACGGAGAAUGACCCCAUUUUGGAGAGGGGUUUCCCUCAGGCCUAUUGGAGCCUCCUGCCGGGAUGAUUCUGAGUGUAUCACAAGGCUAUGCAGAAAAAGACGCUGUUCCUUAAGUGUGGCCCAGGAAUGAUGUACAUACCAGGGAAAGAAAGGACAGCAGUCACCUCCGACAAUGCUCCGUUCUAUGGAAUAUUGAUUAACUGCAUUUUGGCUGGAGACACCCAAGUGAAGCAAUCUUGUAUUUUUAAUAUUUAAAGGCAGAUGUACGCUUUAAAUUGGUCUCCAUUUCUUCUUAGAAUGUUGAUAUAUGGAUAAGCAUAACUAAACUUGUCAAUUUAGAGUUUAUUUUUCUAUGGAUACUAUUAAAUGUCUCAAAUUGAAA
rnacentral:lncRNA from 1 species